rnacentral:rRNA from 1 species
GUCGGUCCCAAGGGUUGGGCUGUUCGCCCAUUAAAGCGGUACGCGAGCUGGGUUCAGAACGUCGUGAGACAGUUCGGUCCCUAUCCGUCGCGGGCGUAGGAAAUUUGAGAGGAGCUGUCCUUAGUACGAGAGGACCGGGAUGGACGCACCGCUGGUGUACCAGUUGUUCCGCCAGGAGCACAGCUGGGUAGCUAUGUGCGGAAGGGAUAAGCGCUGAAAGCAUCUAAGCGUGAAGCCCCCCUCAAGAUGAGAUUUCCCAUCGCGUCAAGCGAGUAAGAUCCCUUGAAGAUGACAAGGUUGAUAGGUCCGAGGUGGAAGCGUGGCGACACGUGCAGCUGACGGAUACUAAUCGAUCGAGGACUUAACUAAG